rnacentral:rRNA from 1 species
UACAUAGGGGGCAAGCGUUGUCCGGAUUUAUUGGGCGUAAAGAGCGUGUAGGCGGCCAGGUAGGUCCGUUGUGAAAACUGGAGGCUUAACCUCCAGCUGUCGAUGGAAACCAUCUGGCUAGAGUCCGGAAGAGGAGAGUGGAAUUCCUGGUGUAGCGGUGAAAUGCGCAGAUAUCAGGAAGAACACCCGUGGCGAAGGCGGCUCUCUGGGACGGUACUGACGCUGAGACGCGAAAGCGUGGGGAGCGAACAGG